rnacentral:misc_RNA from 1 species
AGUCGUAACAAGGUCUCCGUUGGUGAACCAGCGGAGGGAUCAUUACCGAGUUUACAACUCCCAAACCCCUGUGAACAUACCACUUGUUGCCUCGGCGGAUCAGCCCGCUCCCGGUAAAACGGGACGGCCCGCCAGAGGACCCCUAAACUCUGUUUCUAUAUGUAACUUCUGAGUAAAACCAUAAAUAAAUCAAAACUUUCAACAACGGAUCUCUUGGUUCUGGCAUCGAUGAAGAACGCAGCAAAAUGCGAUAAGUAAUGUGAAUUGCAGAAUUCAGUGAAUCAUCGAAUCUUUGAACGCACAUUGCGCCCGCCAGUAUUCUGGCGGGCAUGCCUGUUCGAGCGUCAUUUCAACCCUCAAGCACAGCUUGGUGUUGGGACUCGCGUUAAUUCGCGUUCCCCAAAUUGAUUGGCGGUCACGUCGAGCUUCCAUAGCGUAGUAGUAAAACCCUCGUUACUGGUAAUCGUCGCGGCCACGCCGUUAAACCCCAACUUCUGAAUGUUGACCUCGGAUCAGGUAGGAAUACCCGCUGAACCUAAGCAUAUC